CGACCAUAUCACGUUGAAACACGGUGGUAAGUUGAUCGUACGAUCACCGAAGUUAAGCAACGUCGAGCCUGGUCAGUACCAAGAUGGGUGACCGCUUGGGAAUACCAGGUGCUGUAA